AAAGUACUCCCUCCGUCCCAAAAUUCUUGUCUUAGAUUUGUCUAGAUACAGAUGUAUCAAGUCACAUUUUAGUAUUAGAUACAUCCGUAUCUAGACAAAUCUAAGACAAGAAAUUUCGGACAAAGGGAGUAGUUC
rnacentral:pre_miRNA from 1 species